ACUGUCAAUGUUAAUCGGCACCUGCAUCAAGUGAACAAUUUAAUCAAAUUAAUCAAAUACUAGCCUUUAGAGGCUUUUGUACCAUCCCUGAUAUGUGGCCCUUUCGAACACCUUUCGAUUAUUGUACAAACAUAACUUCAAAAGCCAGUGCAACGAAAACCAAAAGAAUUAGACCUUUUUAACCAGGACGUUUAUACAAGUCAUCGCAUUUUCCAAGCUGCCAAAGUUGAAAUUGAUGUUAAAGAUGGUGCCAUGAAAAAGAUGAAACAGGUUUUGAAUUGGUAAUAAAUUCAAUUUUUUUCGCCGGAAUAAGAGUUUGGGGUCAACAAAUUUUUUUGUAAGUAACUCGUUUGUUUUAGGGCUAUUAAUCAUCACUGCUAUUAAAGGCAUUCACUCACUAUCGGUCGCUCCUGCUGUAUGUCCCAUUUCAAUUCAUAGCAGAAUUGCAACAGCGCAUUUGAAUUUUUCGGACCGAAAAAUAAAGCACAAAUUGAAAGUUUCUGUAAAAGAUAAGAAUUUUGUGUUAAACUAAAUCUCAAAGACACGUUCUGAGCUAAGAAAACCCACCAGAAACUCUCAAUUUGUGCUCCAUUUCACUCCAAAAAAUUCAUUUGCGCUGUUGCAAAAUUCUACUAUGAACUGAAAUGGAAUAUACACUGCAUAAAUGAAUUAGUUUAUUAAAUAACUAUUAAAUCAGUUGUUAAAAUAUGAUUUAUUUUCAUUUCAUUACAUCAAAGCAACGAAUUAUUUUGCCUAUUUCACAAUUUUUUCUACUCUAAAAUAAAUUUUAUCAAUUGUAUUCAGGAGAAAAGUGUUCGGAUCCAGUUCAACCCGCUUUGUUAUGGGACUAACAGACACUUUAAAAUUUUUCACAACUGAUGCAAUCCCUAACUUAGACUGCAUAGUUCCAAAUCGCAUUCCAAUACAAUUUCUUGGUCCAUCCCCAAAUGGCAAAUAAACGAACGGAUGUCUCAAUUUUUUAUUUUCUUCACUAAACCUCUCAGGAUCAAAUUUCUCAGGAUCUGGAUAAUACUCAGGAUCCCUGUGAACUCCUAUUGCAGAAAUAAGGAUGGGAGUCCCUUUUUCAAUGAUUGUGCUAGUUCCUGGAAGGGUGUAGUCUUUAACACAGCGGCGAUUCAAAGUUUGACCUGGGGGAUAUUUUCGAAGGGUUUCUG